ACCCUUUUUUGGUUCAUAAACAUGAUGAUUGGGUGUUCAUGCCAUUCUGUGACAUGUGCCUCCUCAAAACCUUGUUAUAACAUCAGUGUAUUACUCAUUUGGUG